rnacentral:rRNA from 1 species
CACCGCGGUUAUACGAGAGACUCGAGUUGACAAACGCCGGCGUAAAAUGUGGCCAAUAUUCUAUUUUACUAAAGCCAAACAUCUUCAAGGCUGUUAUACGCUUUCGAAGACAAGAGGCCCCACCACGAAAGUGACUUUAAGUAGUAGGACCCCACGAAAACUAGGAAC